UACACCAAUUCUGAACAGUGUUGAGGUUGA
rnacentral:piRNA from 1 species